rnacentral:rRNA from 1 species
AACGAACGCUGGCGGCAGGCUUAACACAUGCAAGUCGAACGGAUCCUUCGGGAUUAGUGGCAGACGGGUGAGUAACGCGUGGGAACGUACCCUUUGCUACGGAAUAACUCAGGGAAACUUGAGCUAAUACCGUAUGUGCCCUACGGGGGAAAGAUUUAUCGGCAAAGGAUCGGCCCGCGUUGGAUUAGCUAGUUGGUGGGGUAAUGGCCUACCAAGGCGACGAUCCAUAGCUGGUCUGAGAGGAUGAUCAGCCACACUGGGACUGAGACACGGCCCAGACCCCUACGGGGGGCCGCAGGGGGGAAUAUGGGACAAUGGGCGCAAGCCUGACCCAGCCAUGCCGGGGGAGUGAUGAAGGUCUUAGGAUUUUAAAGCUCUUUCACCGGUGAAGAUAAGGACGGUAGCCGGAAAAGAAGCCCCGGCUAACUUCGU